ACAGUGCCCUAAUUCUUCUCAUCGCUACAGAAAGCUUCUCCGCCACCAUCUCUGCACGCCACCAUCUCCGCCACCUUCCCGUGGCGUCGCCUCUAUCCCUCGCCGCACUCGUUACUUCCCCCGGCCGCUGCCGUGGAGUCCGAUUUCAAAAAUGAAUUCAGGAAAAGAAGUCAAAAAACGUAAUGUAACAGUGCCCUAACUUCUUCUCACUGCACAAAGCUUUUCCGCUACCAUCUCUGCGCGCCACCAUCUCCGCCACCUUCUAGCGGCGUCGCCUUCAUCCCUCGCCGCACUCAUUACUUCCCCCGCUGCCGUGAGGUCAGAUUUCGUAGGAAAGAUUUCAAAGUCAUAUUCGUCGCCCUUUUUAGUUCCACAGGUAUUUAUUUGUACUUCCUGCUCUUAAUGUUGUGCCUUGGAUUUUCUUUCUUUAGUGAAUGCCUCGCCCUGUAACUGUACUGCAUUUUCCAAUCUUUACUUGUCAAGUUUGAAUAUUUUGCCUUCCUCUAAUUCGCCCUAUGGUAGCAUUAGGUUUGUUGAGGGAAGUUUUGAAUAGUGUAAAUAGGUUUUAAGAUUGAUGAAAACUCAUAGCAGGUAUCCACGAAACAGAACAAUCGGCCUUGCUCUGCUGUGUUUCACCGCUGCUCUGGGUUUUCGGUCUGCCGUGCUUUGUUUGCAGCUCUCUCAGUCUUUCUCUGGUCUGCCGUGCUUCGUCGCCUCUGAGUCUAAGGUUAGUUUUGCUACUCUUGAAGUAUGUUGUUGUUGCUGCCCUUUCUAUCUAAGCGAGUGGAUAUGAUGUUGCUGCUUUGUAAUUGUUCUACCAUUUGAUGUUUCAAUUUCAUAUUCAUGAUAAGUCACCUGCUAAUUGUGAAGUGUAAGCGUGACAGAUUAUUAGCAUCAUAGCUUUGGCCUCAAAAGUAGAAGUGUUAUCUUUUAUUUUGUUUCUGCCCUCCCAGUUAACAUUAUCAUUGGUACAACUUUGUCACGCAAUAGGAUAAACACUGACCAAACUUCAUUAUAAAAUGUGAACUACCAUAUGCAGGAGUGAUUGACUGAUUGUUGUGUGCAUCCCACAUUGUAAGCCAUACUUCUACCUGCAUAUUUUAUGAAUGGAUGUGUUUUGUCUUAAGUUAUAAAAAAAAUUAGCUUUGUUUACUGAGUUAGGGAUGUUAACUAGUUAGGAGGCUUAUCGAGAGAUCUUUAUUCAUCUUGUUUUUAUUACCGACUUGCUAUAUAUAUUAUUUUAUUCACUACAACAAAGACUCUAAUAGAAAUCGCUAAAUAGAAACCGGUUUUUUCAAGUAUAAAAAAAUUAGCAAAGGAAUCUAGCAGAGAUGUGCUACUGCUGCUCCUAUCUAACACAGAAAUAUACUGUUACAUAAAAGAAUGUUAAAAGGUACUUUAAAAUCCUCUUAAAGUGAGUUAUGAAUAUUUCGGUGAAAAUUAAAAUUAAAUCAAGUAAUGCUAUAUGUAGGAAGUAAGAAUGCUACAGCCAAUUUUUAGCUAUUAAUUAGUCAAAUACUAUAUCUCUUUUCUAGCUAUUAAUUAGUCAAAUAGUAGUAACUUGUAUAUGUUGUUGUUUUUUCACCAAUUUUUAACUCUCUUAACACUAACUUUUACAGUUUGUUUGGCUUUUAUUACUUUGGUGUUAACUCUGCAUGCAGCUACUGUUUUGUGCUUGCUACUAUCAUUGUUGCUUUAACUAAAUGUGGUCGUUAGUACAAUCUAAGUAUGGAAAGGCAAAACAAAAAUCGACUACUUAUCCUUGUGCGUGUGAUAAGCCAAAUUGACAUAAUGUUGUAUGUGGUUGUGUGGUUCACUUGCAAAUGAAGCCUAAUGGAAUUAGUGAUUUAUGUUUCUGAUAUGAAACUGGAAAAUCUCAUUCUAUGGUAACAUGUUGCAUUUAAUUUUCUAUUUCAAAACAAUUCAAGUUAAAGAGUACACAUACAAUAAUUUAUGAAACAAAAGCUCUUAUUGAUGGAAUACGUUUUGCUUUGGAGUGUCUCUUAAGUAAUUAGAAAUGCUUGAUAUGUCCAACAUUCUUGCUUCUGAUACAAUAAUUAUCUUCAUUUGUAUCUUGGAAGAUCAUCAAUAGCAGCGUGGUUUCUCAAGUAAUAAAGAUAGUGUAUUUGUUUAGUAUCUAAGAUCUACAAUGGUAAAUGGGAGGUCACAGUUGGUGAUUUUACGCUGCUCACAAUAUUUUUCUGAUACAUAUGUACAUGGAGCUGAAGCAUUAAAUUUCUCCAUCUGUAAGAACAUGCUUGCUUUGUUUGUGUUUUGCAGGUAACUUGGAUGCAAAGCUAACUUGGAUGCAAAGAGGAAAGAAGACCAUAUUUAGUUAUUGAAAAAUUGAGGCUUCAAGAACAUUUGAUUUUGAAAGUUGAUAUUAGAUUUUGUCUUCCUAGAAACUUGAUAUUAGACUUUCUUUUGUUAUAUUGAUAGUUGAAACUUAGGGGGGU
rnacentral:lncRNA from 1 species